UACGGGGGUGGCGAGCGUUACUCGGAUUUAUUGGGUGUAAAGGGCAGGUAGGUGGCUAUGUAAGUUGUAGGUGAAAUCCUUUGGCUCAAUCAAAGAACUGCCUACAAAACUACAUGGCUUGAGGACAGUAGAGGAAAGCGGAAUUCCCGGUGUAAGGGUGAAAUCUGUAGAUAUCGGGAGGAACACCUGUGGCGAAAGCGGCUUUCUGGUCUGUCUCUGACACUGAUCUGCGAAAGCUAGGGGAGCAAACAGG
rnacentral:rRNA from 1 species